UACGUAGGUGACAAGCGUUGUCCGGAUUUACUGGGCGUAAAGAGCGCGCAGGCGGUCGUUCAAGUCGAGUGUGAAAGCCCCCGGCUCAACUGGGGAGGGUCAUUCGAUACUGAUCGACUCGAAGGCAGGAGAGGGUGGCGGAAUUCCCAAGUAGAGGUGAAAUUCGUAGAUAUGGGGAGGAACACCGGUGGCGAAGGCGGCCACCUGGACGGUAACUGACGCUGAGACGCGAAAGCGUGGGGAGCAAACAGG
rnacentral:rRNA from 1 species